GAUGAACGCUGGCGGCGUGCUUAAUACAUGCAAGUCGAACGGAGUUCAGAUGAAACCUAGUGAUUCUGAACUUAGUGGCGGACGGGUGAGUAACGCGUGGGUAACCUGCCCUGUACAGGGGGAUAACGGCUGGAAACGGCCGCUAAAACCGCAUAACAUCGGAACACCGCAUGAUGUUCCGGUCAAAUAUUUAUAGGUACAGGAUGGGCCCGCGUCUGAUUAGCUAGAUGGUGAGGUAACGGCCCACCAUGGCGACGAUCAGUAGCCGUACUGAGAGGUAGAACGGCCACAUUGGGACUGAGACACGGCCCAAACUCCUACGGGAGGCAGCAGUAGGGAAUAUUGGUCAAUGGGGGAAACCCUGAACCAGCGACGCCGCGUGAGUGAAGAAGUAUUUCGGUAUGUAAAGCUCUAUCAGCAGGGACGAUAAUGACGGUACCUGACUAAGAAGCCCCGGCUAACUACGUGCCAGCAGCCGCGGUAAUACGUAGGGGGCAAGCGUUAUCCGGAUUUACUGGGUGUAAAGGGAGUGUAGGUGGUCAUGCAAGUCAGAUGUGAAAUUCCGGGGCUCAACCCCGGACUGCAUUUGAAACUGCGUGACUGGAGUGCAGGAGAGGUAAGCGGAAUUCCUAGUGGAGCGGUGAAAUGCGUAGAUAUUAGGAGGAACACCGGUGGCGAAGGCGGCUUACUGGACGAUAACUGACGUUGAGGCUCGAAAGCGUGGGGAGCAAACA
rnacentral:rRNA from 1 species